AUGGAGAAACUGAGUCCCACCGGACAUAUUCCUCAACCUUCACGGUCAUUGGAUGACCUUCCUAUGAAAGUAGCUUGCACGCUAUCACAGGGAUCUAAUGUAACUAGCAUGGACUUUCAUCCUUCUCGUCAUACGCUACUACUAGUUGGAUCUGCUAAUGGUGAAUUUACACUAUGGGAGAUCAGUAUGCAUGAGAGGCUGGUCACAAAGCCCUUCGAAAUUUGGGACAUGCAAGCAUGUUCAACACAAUUUCAGGGUGUCAUGGCUAAAGACUCUUCCAUGGCCGUUAAUCAAGUUACAUGGAGCCCUGAUGGAGAAUUGAUUGGUGUUGCGUUUACAAAGCAUUUGAUCCAUCUGCAUGCAUACCGGCAUCCAAAUGAAACAUAUCAAUUUGUAGAGAUUGAGGCUCAUUCUGGAAGAGUUAAUGACAUAGUUUUCUCUCGGUCACGUAAGCAACUUUAUGUUGUCACUUGCGGAGAUGACAAGCUGAUAAAGGUCUGGGACAUGCAUGGGCAGAAAAUAUAUUCGUUUGAAGGGCAUGAGGCACCUGUAUAUUCUAUUUGCCCCCAUCACAUAGACCAGGUUAAGUUUAUUUUCUCAAUUUCCCUUGAUGGGAAAAUGAAGACCUGGCUUUAUGAGUAUCUGGGAACUAAGCUGGACUUUGAUGUUCCAGGAAAAUGGUGUGGUGCAAUUCUCAAUAGUACCGAUGGAACUAGGUUGUUCUCUUGCGGAACAAGCAAAGAGGGUGACACACAUUUGGUUGAGUGGAACCAAAUUGAAGGAUCUGUCGAGAGGUCAUAUUCUGGAUUCCGUAAAAAACCAUCUGGUGUAGUGCAGGGUGUCGUGCAGUUUGAUACAGCUCGGAAUCACAUUUUAGCUGCUGGCGAAGAUAACAAAAUUAUGUUUUGGGAUGCCGACAACACCAACAUGCUUACCUGCAUUGAAGCUGGUGGAGGCUUGCCAAGCUUUCCACGGUUAAGGUUUAAUAAAGAAGGCAAUCUUCCUGCUGUUAAUACAGUAGAUUGUGGUUUUAAGAUACUUGCAAAUACUGAUGGGCUCAGAUCUUUACCGGCUUUUGGUAAUGUGCCUUCCGAAGUAUUCAGAUCGCCAUAUGAAGCUUCUGAGAUGAAGGUCUCAGGUCCUCCUAUUGUCGCGGGCAUCUCUCCUAACAUUGGCCAAACUGAUCACUUACACACAAAAUAUCCUGCAAAGCCAUCUCAAGUGAAUGGCAGUGAUCCAGCAUUUGUAAGCGUAGAUAAAAAGCAAAGAAUUUCAGAAGAAAAGUCUGAUAAAGCGAAACCUUGGGAGCUGAAGGAGGUUCAGCAAUUUCGUGUUGAUACAAUGCUAGAAACUGACCACGCCAGCAAGGUAUCCAAGGUGCUCGACGACGACAACCUCCUCAGGGAGAUCAUCAUCCGCGUCGGCUUCCCCACCACCCUCGUCCAUGCCGCCCUCGUUUGCAAGCGCUGGUACCAGCAUGCCUCUGAACCCGCCUUCCUCCGCCUUUUCCACGAGCGCCACCCGCCCCGCCUCCUCGGCUUCUACAUCGAGAACAGGAAGGAUUAUAACAUGGCUUCUAUUCGCUUCAUCCCGAUGCUACCUCAGCCCCCAGAGCUUUCCACCGUCAUCCGCACUAUGCAGAGCUACGGUUGGGGCUUCUACCAUGGCGCCCCGGCCAACUUCCGCUGCUCCCGGAAAGGCAGAUUCCUCGUCAGCUUGUACAACCUGGUCAACGACAACAACUUCACAAGUCGGGUGCACAGUCCAUUAUGUCCUAAGAGAGGCCUGACUGUCAUCCCACCAUUACCACACAUCCAAAUCCAGGACGACUAUUACUAUAGUAUGAAUGAUCUCCUCUUGGUGGAAGAAGCCGACGAUGUGUCCUACUUUCAUGUGUUGCUUGUGGUUAACAUGCAGAGAACAAAAUAUACGGUGCACGUAAAUAUGUUGCGACAUGGUGAUGGUGUGUGGCGCACGUGUCUUACCUUCGACAGAGACCAACUUCUUGAUCCGGAAUGGGAACCAAAAGCUGUGCUCGCCAACAAUAAAAUCUACAUAGCGAGCACACAUAACAGCAUUGAUUUCUUUGAUUUGACUACCUCAAGCAUCUCCACGGUUCAGCUCCCACAUGGGGUGGAGUAUGGCGAUAGAGAUACCAUGUUAGCACCGUCUGAUGAUGCUUCUGAUGUGUAUCUCAUCCAUGCUAAGAAUCUUCAGCUUGACAUCUGGCUCCACAAGGGGGACAACUGGUUGCUGGUGGAAACCAUUUCUUUGCGUGACAUGGUUGCUAAUUUGAGGAUUCCAGGUUGCGAGGUUGAGGAUGAGCCCACUGCUCCUCUCUGGAUAAACCAUGUGGGGUCCUAUGCUGAGUUUGUGUUCUUGGAGAUGGGCCGAUGCGCACUUCACUUAGAUGUCAAGUGUAGGCAGUUGCGUAAAGUGUAUGAUAUGGCAGAAGAAGAACUGGAUUUGGGUGAUAUCCAUCCUCUUACAAUGAUUUGGCCGCCCAUAUUCCCUGAUCUCACUAACAACCUUGCAAGAUCAGUGAUCUAA
rnacentral:rRNA from 1 species